AGCCCAUGGUCUGGGCACUUCCUUAACAUCGACUUGAAACAUUCCCAUGCCUCGUAUAGGGAUUCACCUUCAUAUUUCUUAAAAUUGGUGAUUUCUCGCCUAAGCU
rnacentral:snoRNA from 1 species